rnacentral:rRNA from 1 species
UGACCUAUCCCUGGAGGAAGCACGGGCUAAGUUCGUGCCAGCAGCCGCGGUAAGACGAACCGUGCGAACGUUGUUCGGAAUCACUGGGCUUAAAGGGCGCGUAGGCGGAUCACCAAGUCCGGGGUGAAAGCCUCCAGCUUAACUGGGGAAGUGCCUUGGAUACUGGUGGUCUUGAGGGAGGUAGGGGCAGUGGGAACUUCCGGUGGAGCGGUGAAAUGCGUUGAUAUCGGAAGGAACGCCGGUGGCGAAAGCGCACUGCUGGACCUCUACUGACGCUGAGGCGCGAAAGCCAGGGGAGCAAACGGGAUUAGAUACCCCGGUAGUCCCGGCCCUAAACGAUGGGUACUAGGUAGUAGACUGGACAUGGGUUUACUGCCGAAGCUAAAGUGCUAAGUACCCCGCCUGGGGAGUAUGGUCGCAAGGCUG